UACAGAGGGUGCAAGCGUUAUCCGGAUUUAUUGGGCGUAAAGCGUUUCGUAGGUUUCUAGAAAAGUUAAUUUUCAAAGACCACGGCUCAACCGGGGGAAGGGAGUUAAUACUAUCUGGAUUGAAAUAUGGUGGGGCUUCUGGAACUGAUGGUGUAGUAGUGAAAUACGUUGAUAUCAUCAGGAACUCCGAGGGCGAAGGCAGGAAGCUAACCAUUUUUUGACACUGAGGAACGACAGCUAGGGGAGCGAAGGGGAUUAGAGACCCCUGUAGUCCUAGCCGUAAACUUUGCUCGCUAGGGGUUAUGAUUUAUCAUUAGCCCCGUAAGCUAACGCGUUAAGCGAGCCGCCUGGGGAGUACGGCCGCAAGGCUAAAACUCAAAGGAAUUGACGGGGACCCGCACAACCAGUGGAGCAUGUGGUUUAAUUCGAGACGAAACGAAAGACCUCACCCAGCCUUGACAUGCUACCGUUUUAGGCAUCUGGAAACAGAAGCCGAUCUUUAGAAAUAUUGAUGGUAGCACAGGUGUUGCAUGGCCGUCGUCAGCUCGUGCCGUAGGGUGUUCCCUUCAGUGGGGUAACGAGCGCAACCCUUGCCCUGAGUUGAAUAUUCUCAGGGGACUCCUUGAAUUUAUUUCAGGGGGAAGUGAGGACGACGUCAGGUCAGCAUGGCCCUUAUAGCUGGGGCGACACACAUACUACAAUGGAGCCGACAGAGGGUUGCCAAGCCGCAAGGUGGAGCUAAUCCCAAAAACGGCUUCUCAGUGGGGAUUGGGGGCUGCAACUCGCCCCCAUGAACUUGGAAUUGGUAGUAAUCGCGAAUCAGCAUGUCGCGGUGAAUACGUUCUCGGGUCUUGUACACACCGCCCGUCAAGUGAGUAAAGUUGUAUAUACCUUAAAUCCCGUUGUACGGGAUCAAGGUAGAGACAGCGAUAAGCACU
rnacentral:rRNA from 1 species